AGUGCGAGCAUACCUGUGGGACCCGAAAGAUGGUGAACUAUGCCUGAGCAGGGCGAAGCCAGAGGAAACUCUGGUGGAGGCUCGUAGAUGUGCUGACGUGCAAAUCGCUUUUCGGACUUGGGUAUAGGGGCGAAAGACUAAUCGAACCAUCUAGUAGCUGGUUCCCUCCGAAGUUUCCCUCAGGAUAGCUGGAGCUUGUAUCAGUGCAGUCAGGUAAAGCUAAUGAUUAGAGGUUCGGGGGAUGAAACAUCUUCCACCUAUUCUCAAACUUUAAAUAGGCUGGACGCCCAGGUUGCUUAAUUGAACCUGUGGCAUUCCUGAGAGCUCCAAGUGGGCCAUUUUUGGUAAGCAGAACUGGCGAUGCGGGAUGAACCGAUAGUCGAGAUAAGGUGCCAAACUAUGCACUAACCCAGAUCCCACAAAGGGUGUUGAUUGAUAUAGACAGCAGGACGGUGGUCAUGGAAGUCGAAAUCCGCUAAGGAGUGUGUAACAACUCACCUGCCGAAUCAAUUAGCCCCGAAAAUGGAUGGCGCUUAAGUGCAUGACCUAGACUCGACCAUUGAUGCAAGUGCGAUGCAUCAAUGAGUAGGAGGGCGUGGCUGCCGCGUCGAAG
rnacentral:ncRNA from 1 species